UGCGGCCAUACCAUGGUGAAUAUACCGGUUCUUGUUCGAUCACCGAAGUCAAGCAGCGCGGUCAGUACUUGGGUGGGUGACCACCUGGGAACACCGCGUGCCGUU